CAGGCUUAACACAUGCAAGUCGAGCGGAGAUGAGGUGCUUGCACCUUAUCUUAGCGGCGGACGGGUGAGUGAUGCGUGGGAACGUACCCUUUGCUACGGAAUAGCUCCGGGAAACUGGAAUUAAUACCGUAUGUGCCCUACGGGGGAAAGAUUUAUCGGCAAAGGAUCGGCCCGCGUUGGAUUAGCUAGUUGGUGGGGUAAUGGCCUACCAAGGCGACGAUCCAUAGAUGGUCUGAGAGGAUGAUCAGCCACAUUGGGACUGAGACACGGCCCAAACUCCUACGGGAGGCAGCAGUGGGGAAUAUUGGACAAUGGGCGCAAGCCUGAUCCAGCCAUGCCGCGUGAGUGAUGAAGGCCUUAGGGUUGUAAAGCUCUUUCACCGGAGAAGAUAAUGACGGUAUCCGGAGAAGAAGCCCCGGCUAACUUCGUGCCAGCCGCCGCUGUAA
rnacentral:rRNA from 1 species